rnacentral:antisense_RNA from 1 species
ACAAUUAGUUGGAGCUUCUUUGGUCAACAGCAGAUGUGACUAAGAAAAUCACGCUGUUUCAUUUAGAGCAGUGGAUCACCAAGUGUGGUCCUCAGGCCACACAGCUCGGCAUUACCUAGGAACUAGGAAAUGCAAGUUCGUAAGCAACCCCACCCAGACCUACUGAAUUGGAAGUGCUGAGGAUAGGGUCCAGCAAUCUGUGGUUGAACAAGCUCUGCAGUUAUCUACAAUAGGAAGGAGAAAAGACAGAUGCCUAGCUUGUCACAUCUGGUACCAUGUUCUUCAGGAUCAAGCUUUUCCCAAACAGCAAGCUCAGGUGACCUCGGUGCUGCGGACUCACCCCUAAGUCCGCAAAUGGCCCAUCGAGCAGAGCUAACUGGGCCACGCGGCAGCGGUCCCUAUUGGCCAGUGUCUGCGGGGUGCUGUAGCCACCUCU